UACGUAGGGUGCAAGCGUUGUCCGGAAUUAUUGGGCGUAAAGAGCUCGUAGGCGGUGUGUCGCGUCGGCCGUGAAAACUUGCAGCUUAACUGUGGGCGUGCGGUCGAUACGGGCAUCACUGGAGUUCGGCAGGGGAGACUGGAAUUCCAGGUGUAGCGGUGAAAUGCGUAGAUAUCUGGAGGAACACCGGUGGCGAAGGCGGCAUUCUGGACCAUAACUGACACUGAGAGACGAAAGCCAGGGGAGCAAACGGG
rnacentral:rRNA from 1 species